UUCGGGGGACAGGGUGACAGGUGGUGCAUGGUUGUCGUCAGCUCGUGUCGUGAGAUGUUGGGUUAAGUCCCGCAACGAGCGCAACCCUCGACCUUAGUUGCCAGCAUUCAGUUGGGCACUCUAAGGUGACUGCCGGCUAAAAGUCGGAGGAAGUGGGGAUGACGUCAAAUCAUCAUGCCCCUUAUGACCUGGGCUACACACGUGCUACAAUGGGCGGUACAAAGGGUCGCGAACCCGCGAGGGGGAGCCAAUCCCAAAAAGCCGCUCUCAGUUCGGAUUGCAGGCUGCAACUCGCCUGCAUGAAGCCGGAAUCGCUAGUAAUCGCGGAUCAGCAUGCCGCGGUGAAUACGUUCCCGGGUCUU
rnacentral:rRNA from 1 species